rnacentral:lncRNA from 1 species
ACAAAACGGUAAUAUUUCCUCUCAUCUGUUAUUCCGUUGCGUCUAGGCCGGAUCGAUUGCACGAGAUACGCUGCUGCCGCAACAGCCGCACACGCAUGUUCUCGCAUCAACAAGAAAACCGAGCUUGACUCGCCAAGAAAUCAGCACAAGCCGUUGCUUGUUUCUGCAUGUAUCCAAGCAGCCUGUUGCAUAUUCAUGUAUAUAUACAACCAUCCAGCACACACAUACUGUGUGUCUAGCAUUAGGAUUUGAAAUUGAUGAAAUAAUUAACCUUUAACAGCGUAUUAUUUCCAUCACAUUAUCAUACUAAAUUAUUUUUAUAAGAUGAAUGCGUAUGUAAGUAAUUCAGCUAUACUUCUACAAAAAAAACGUAUGCCAGUAAGAUGGCCUCGAAUCGAAUCAAAAGCUAAACAAAUCAAAUGCGUUGAUCACUCGAAAAAAAAGGAAUGAAUUUGGAAGUCAGUCGAUCGCGGCGUCAUCGUCGUCGACCAUCAGACGAGACGUCUCACCGCGCCGCGCAGCCUGAUCCCGGUGUUCCCAUCGCGAGCCAGGCUCUGGCCGCCAAUGCCGANNNN